AUGCCGCCAAACAACAUAAGAGAACUCAUUGAUGAACUCAGAAUGCUCCUUCAAAACAAAAGGUACCUUAUUGUUAUUGACGACAUAUGGAAUCUACAAUCAUGGAGAGAAAUCAAACUUGCUUUGAUUGAGAAUAGUUGUGCCAGCAGGAUAAUCGCAACGACUCGUGACCUUGACAUUUCUACAGAUGUCGGUGGUUCUUUUAAGAUAAACCCCCUUAACCUCAAGAGAUCUAAAACAUUAUUCUGUCAGAGGAUCUUUGGCUCCAAGGAUAAAUUGCCUCAACAUUUGUCUGAAGUAUCCAUGAAGAUAUUGAAGAAAUGUGGUGGCAUACUGAAAGGGCAUGCGGUGCCCCCAUGUGUGGUUUUGGUAAUUGAUGACAUUCUCUAUGUACUAAUGGUUGCAUUGAGUUAUAUUUGA
rnacentral:rRNA from 1 species